UAGGGAAUCUUCCACAAUGGACGCAAGUCUGAUGGAGCAACGCCGCGUGAGUGAAGAAGGUCUUCGGAUCGUAAAACUCUGUUGUUAGAGAAGAACACGAGUGAGAGUAACUGUUCAUUCGAUGACGGUAUCUAACCAGCAAGUCACGGCUAACUACGUGGCCAG
rnacentral:rRNA from 1 species